AACGAACGCUGGCGGCAGGCCUAACACAUGCAAGUCGAGCGCCCUUUCGGGGGAGCGGCGGACGGGUGAGUAACGCGUGGGAAUAUGCCCUUCUCUACGGAAUAGCCUCUGGAAACUGAGAGUAAUACCGUAUACGCCCUGUGGGGGAAAGAUUUAUCGGGGAAGGAUUAGCCCGCGUUGGAUUAGGUAGUUGGUGGGGUAAUGGCCUACCAAGCCGACGAUCCAUAGCUGGUUUGAGAGGAUGAUCAGCCACACUGGGACUGAGACACGGCCCAGACUCCUACGGGAGGCAGCAGUGGGGAAUCUUAGACAAUGGGGGCAACCCUGAUCUAGCCAUGCCGCGUGAGUGAUGAAGGCCUUAGGGUUGUAAAGCUCUUUCAGCUGGGAAGAUAAUGACGGUACCAGCAGAAGAAGCCCCGGCUAACUCCGUG
rnacentral:rRNA from 1 species